rnacentral:rRNA from 1 species
AACGAACGCUGGCGGCAGGCUUAACACAUGCAAGUCGAACGCAUCGCAAGAUGAGUGGCAGACGGGUGAGUAACGCGUGGGAACAUACCCUUUUCUACGGAAUAGCUCUGGGAAACUGGAAUUAAUACCGUAUACGCCCUACGGGGGAAAGAUUUAUCGGGGAAGGAUUGGCCCGCGUUGGAUUAGCUAGUUGGUGGGGUAAAGGCCUACCAAGGCGACGAUCCAUAGCUGGUCUGAGAGGAUGAUCAGCCACACUGGGACUGAGACACGGCCCAGACUCCUACGGGAGGCAGCAGUGGGGAAUAUUGGACAAUGGGGGAAACCCUGAUCCAGCCAUGCCGCGUGAGUGAUGAAGGCCUUAGGGUUGUAAAGCUCUUUCGCCAGGGAAGAUAAUGACGGUACCUGGAAAAGAAGCCUCGGCUAACUCCGUGCCAGCCGCCGCAGUAAGAC